ACCUUCAUUUUUGAUUCUAGAUAUAUCCAGACGGCCUCUGUGGAACUUAAAAAUGGAUCAAGCUUUAUUACGAAUUCAUAAUGAAUUGCUCAUUGACAACUUGUCCAUUUAUUGGGUCUCAGAUUAUUGCUAUAAGUGUUUGGAACAGGAGCUGAUUUCUGUCCAGAUGAACAGAACAUCCAAA